rnacentral:rRNA from 1 species
AUUGAACGCUGGCGGCAUGCUUUACACAUGCAAGUCGAACGGUAACAGGCCGCAAGGUGCUGACGAGUGGCGAACGGGUGAGUAAUGCAUCGGAACGUGCCCAGUCGUGGGGGAUAACUACUCGAAAGAGUAGCUAAUACCGCAUACGAUCUAUGGAUGAAAGCGGGGGACCGUAAGGCCUCGCGCGAUUGGAGCGGCCGAUGUCAGAUUAGGUAGUUGGUGGGGUAAAGGCUCACAAAGCCAACGAUCUGUAGCUGGUCUGAGAGGACGACCAGCCACACUGGGACUGAGACACGGCCCAGACUCCUACGGGAGGCAGCAGUGGGGAAUUUUGGACAAUGGGCGCAAGCCUGAUCCAGCAAUGCCGCGUGCAGGAAGAAGGCCUUCGGGUUGUAAACUGCUUUUGUACGGAACGAAACGGCUCUGGUUAAUACCCGGGGCUAAUGACGGUACCGUAAGAAUAAGCACCGGCUAACUACGUG